rnacentral:tRNA from 1 species
GGGGUAGUGGUCGAGUGGCUUAUGACGAUAGUCUUGAAAACUAUUGAGGGUUAAUAGCCCUCCGUGGGUUCAAAUCCUACCUACCCCGCCA